rnacentral:rRNA from 1 species
CAGUCGCCACGGUAAUACGGAGGGUGCAAGCGUUAAUCGGAAUUACUGGGCGUAAAGCGCACGCAGGCGGCUUUUUAAGUCGGAUGUGAAAUCCCUGAGCUUAACUUAGGAAUUGCAUUCGAUACUGGGAAGCUAGAGUAUGGGAGAGGAUGGUAGAAUUCCAGGUGUAGCGGUGAAAUGCGUAGAGAUCUGGAGGAAUACCGAUGGCGAAGGCAGCCAUCUGGCCUAAUACUGACGCUGAGGUACGAAAGCAUGGGGAGCAAACAGGAUUAGAUACCCCCGUAGUCCCUGUCUCUUAUAC